UUUCUAGUUUGCUGUUUAUCUCAGCCUGGAUUUCUUUUCAGAUUUUUAUAAAUGCAUAGUUUUUCAAUCUGUUCAGUUUUAAAUAAUUUAAUAAUUAAGCCAAAACACUGGGGAUUUGGAUUUAAAUAUAUAGCCUAUGCAGUGUGUUUACCUCAUUCUAAAAUGUCUCUUUCACCACUUCUAGACUGCAGGUUUGGAAAAAGUAUAUUUUCUAGUUACCCUGAAAGUGCUUUAAUUUGGAAAUCAGUAUUUCCAAAUACAAUAAAAGGGUCAAUUUGGCUGUACCUGUAGCCUUACAUUGCAGGGUUCUAACUGUUAGCUAUGCAGUUGUGCACAUGCUUUUGUGGGGAUUCAGGAGCACUUAUGUACAUAUAUAAGUGUAGUAAAAUUAAGUCAUUAGUUGACACUUGGUAAGGUGUAACAUCAGGUUUAAUUUAAAAGGGAGUUUAGGUCAAAAUGUUGGUUUCUGUUAAGACUGAAAUAUGAAAGGUACCAUUGCAAACAUGUCUUUUAAUGAUUCCCUUUCUCUCCCACUUAAAGUUCUGGUAACUUGUCUUGCCUGGCUGCAAGUGCUGAUUUUUUAACAAUCAUAUAAGCACAUUCUGUUCUCAAAAUGCAAGCUCUUACUUGCCACUUUGUGCUAAAUGGAGCCUUCCGUGCUUUGCUAUAACUGUUGUGAAUAUCUGCGCUAUUGCCUUUCACCUGAAGUCUCAGUCUGACUUCAGCAUCACUCUCAAAAGCUCAGUCUGCUCUUUGUCAUUGGAAAAUAACCGGAGUUGCAAAUAUAAACUGGAGAGUACCUGUUUGUAACAGCGUUACACUUUGCAGCUUGAAUUGCUCUUAACAGGACAAAGUUGCAAAUGAUAGUAUUGAGAGAGUUUGAGUGCUUCCCUCCGUGGGACAGUGACCUUGUAAUAACAUUGUAAUUUUGACUUCCUCAGCCUGAGUAACAAGAGUCUGUUGCCAGAACUGAUUCCCAGUCUUCAGCAGUGUAAUAAAGUGUUGUACAAAGUCUGUCUGCCUGCACAAUAUUUCCCUGUCAUACUAACUAUCUGUGGAAAAGGGGAAAGAAAACAGGAAAGAGACGUGGUACAGACACCUUCUUGUUCAUUUCUGAGUUGCAGGGUAUGAGUUGGAAGAAGUGAAAGAGAGAUCUGCUGCCCUUUGGAGCAACUUUUACCAGUUGUUGAAAUGGCUAGAGGCUGUUCCCAGUGGUUUUUAUGGGGAGAGGAAAAGGAGGUGACUGUUCAGCAGACCUGAUAGUUCACUUCCCAUGCUCCUGCCACUGUGUUUGGCAAGUGGUGUCUCAGAACAGGGAAGGGAUGUUAGGUGAUGUUUCUGUGCAGGAGGAGGUGAGACCUGCUUUGCCUCUUAUCAGUUCUGAAGUGGUUUGCUGCAGUUUUCUUCACAGAAUCUUGGAGAAACAGCCAGAGGGGCCUUCUGACUCAUGGGAAAGAAGUUCUGAAUAUUUUGGUUGAUGAAGAACCAAAGGGAGCCAGAACCAUUACCCUCAUGGUGUGGGAAGGGAGGGAAUGGGAGAGACGUGCAGGCGGUGCAGAGAAUUGGGUGCUGGAGAAACUUUUGUGGAGCUGUCUGGGUUUCAGAGUCCUGUCCCUGAUACUCUCCUUGUUAAGAUCUCAGCCUUAAAUUAAUACAAGAUGGGAAGCAGAAAAUUGAGACUGUAGGAAGUAGCUUGGAUGAGAACAGGUGAAGCUGAAGAGAGGUGACACUAGAAUCAGUAUCAAAUAGUUUUGCAGAGUUGAGGUGUGCUAUACCAAAAACUGUGUGCGUGGUGUGAGUGUGUGUGAUGAAUGAAUAUAGAUUUGUUAAACCCAUGAAAAAUUCUGGUACAGUUCGUAUUUGUUGCUUUGAGGAGUUUGUUUUAAAUUACAAAUGAGGUAAUUGGGAGUCUGAGUUGGGUUCAAACUGAAAGAGGGGAAAUUUAGGUUAGAUAUAUGGAAGAAAUUCUUUGCUGUGAGGGUGGUGAGGCACUGGAACAGGUUGUCCAGAGAAGUUACGGACGCCAUACUUGAACUGGUGUUCAAGGCCAGGUUGGAUGGAGGUUUUAGCAACCUGGUCUAGUUCAAGGUGUCCCUGCCCAUGGUAAAGGGGUUGGAACUAGAUGAUCUUGAAGGUCCCUUCCAAUCCAAACCAUUCUAUGAUUCUAUAUCAAUGAUGUAAAAUUGGCUAGACCAGUAAUGAAAACCUGCAUAAUUAAGCGAGGGGGAGAAAAUGUCUGUGGAGUAAGUAAAGGAACCAGAAACUCAGUAACUGAAAAAAAAUACAUUCAUUACUGUAAGAACUGGAAAACAAAUACACUUUUGCUGAGCUGGGUGAUAUCCUGCCUGUCAGCUUUUCCUCUGCACCAGUGUAGCUAAGCAAGAUUAAAUGUGCUAAUGUGCUUUAAAAGUCUUGCAUAAAUUACUACUUUAAAUGCAAGAUAUAAAGAUAUUUAUGAUGGUGUACUGAAAGCCAUCACUUCCAGACAUAUUUAAACAUAUUUAAAACAGGUACUGAGAUUUGAUAUUCCAAGUGCCACUCAGAUUGCUUAUAAUAGCAGCGUGAAGCUUAUCUUGCAUGUACCUCAUCACUUACUUCAGUCCAUGAGGAUUUUGGCAGAAUAUUUAAUUUAAUAUCCUUUUGCCUGCAGUGUGAUUUUUGACAGCAAAUGUAUUCUAAGAACUCCUAGGUGUUUUAUAUUUAUGUCUUGUAAGCUGUUUUCUUCAACAUGUGGUGUUCAGGUUUUUUCCUUGAAUAAAAUAUCUUUCCUUUUCUCCUGCCUUUGCAUGGAGAGUGCAGGGAGUGGAAACUAUUAAUAUAUUUUGUAUUGUGCUGCAAAGGACCGCAACAUAUGCAUAAUAUUCAGGUUUUAAUGAUCUAAAGGUAAUGUAAGUUCCUGGUACCUAUUUGAAUACUAACACUUAUUGUUUAUCUAAUUGACUUUAAAAAGAAAGUCUGCACUAUAACUGGAAGCAAUUUUAUGGCACUCACACAGUUAGUUAUUGCUCUGACCUGCUCUUCAUAUACGAACCUUUUGAAACAUUUGUGAUCAUUCUACUGGUAGUUCUUUGAUAUCAUUUAUCUGAGGAUUCCUUGUGUAGGUCAGUCUGCUGCUGCCUUUUACUGCACUGGGUCCUAAUCUUCUCAUAACCAAGCUUUGCUUAAGAAAAUCAGUGUGCUAUACUUCAUUCCUCAAGUCCUGUUUUUUGGCCCGGUGCCUACAACCCCUCCUCUUGCAGUAAGCACAGCUUGGCUUGUCCUGGGCUUGUGGUCAGCUUUGUGGUUGCUUCCAGAAGUGCUGGCACUAAGCUUAGUUGGCUAGAAAAUUUGGUGUUUCUGCCCUGUUUUCUCCCUAAGUCCUGUUUUCAGACUGAGAGAUGUAAGCCAGCCCUGCUGAGGUGGAUGCAGCUGAGGCCAAGCACUGCUUAUUUGCUGGGGCUCUGCCUGAGCCUCAAGAGGAGUAGGUCAGUGUCCUGCCCGCUGGGGACAGCUGUUGUGUGGCUCAGCAGGGAUGGCCUUCGGGCUGCGAUUGUGCAAAGGCAGGAGCCGUUAUGGGAAGAGCAGGAGAGGCUCUGGAAAUGAGAAUGCUGACAAAGGACAGCAAUAGCAUAAUGCUUUGCAGAGCAGGCAGAAACAAUAUAGAAGUCAAAUGUAAGAUGGAAUUGGACUUUGAUUUCCUGUUAGCAAAGGACUGAUUUAAAGAUUAAGUCUCGUUUGGAGGAUAAAGGUAUCAGAUUUUUGCCAUGAAAUUGCUUUAGGUAUUCAAUCAUUUUCCUCCAGGAACUGCCGCUUUCCCUCUCUUGUGCGUGAAUGUAUUCAAUAUAUUGCCUGACUUAGUUUGCAAUUGUUAUGGGGCUUUUCUGGGAGAGUUUGCAGGCCUGAGUUCAGUUCUCUCCUAACUUUCAACGUUGCGUUGCAGCUGCUGGGUUUGUGGUCGGAUAACAAAGUUCUCCACCUUGCAGCUGGGACCUGGCUGUGCCCUGGCCACACAUAGCAGCAUGAGAAUAGCAAAAUAAGGGAGGAGACAAGUCACUACAUGAUGGGCUGGAGCGGGUGACAGCUCUGGGACAGACAGGCAGGGAGAAAACAGAUGCUGAAGGACUGCAUUGUAGAUGGACUGUGAGCAGAAGAUUUUUGUUGGCCCCUCUGUAUUGUGGCCUAAUUUCACAGAAAUCCAUAUAAAUUUUAUGUCCUGGAAAAGCUAUGCUAGACCCCGCCUGCAGUUGCAGCUGCUUGUUUUAUGUGACUUCUUUGAAAUAACUAUACUGUUUCCAGGAUGGUGGUGUUUAAUCUUUAGGUACCAACAAUCUUGGCAAAGCGGCUGUUUUUGGGCAGGUGAUUAAGGCAGCCUUUGUGGUAUCCCAUUGUUAGAUGGGAUAUGCUGCUACCAUGCUAUAAGUGAACAUCUGAAGCUUCAGAGCAAUGCAAUAUUGUGCUUUAUUUGUGCAGGUCACUGCUGAUAAGAUAGAAUAUGUAGUGGCACUAAACUUUUGGCUCUGUGAUGUAUGCUUCAUUUGCUACAAAGGUACUGAGAGGUUUUUUAGUAUGUAAAAGUUGAAUUGUUCAGAUCAGAGCCAAAAAGAGCCAGCAUCACCAUGAUCCUGUAUUGGGAUGCACAAUAUGGAACCAAAAAUUGUAAAUUUCCUGGGGAAAGGAUGACAUGAUCUUCGGCAAAAUGAGGGCCAGUGAGAGAUGCUAAGGGAGGCUGGAGGUGUCUAAUUCCCAGCCUUUGAUUUGUCUUGGAGUUAGUCCUCUCUAGAAACACAAGCAGAGGGCCUUGUAGUACAGAAUGGCCUGAUGGUCUCUUAAGCAUUUACUUCAUCCAAGUUCAAUGUUGUCUUUCACUAGAAGAUUCCAAGUCAACCUCUCACUCUUCUGUGUGGUUGUGCAGAUGUUCAGCAGAGCCUCCAGGUAUUUCCCCUACUUUCUCAGGUGAGGAGCAAACUUCCUCUCCCUGGAUCAUUCUCUUGGCAAAUGGGAGAUGAGAAGUUAAAUUGUCUGAAGAGGAGAAACUCAUCUGCUUUGUGGGUGGGUGCAGUCAUCACUGUGUGAAUAGUGAACAAUAGCAAAAGGACCACCCUGCUUUCAAGAGGAUCAAGGGUAGUGACUGCAGCCUGGAGUUGCACAUUCUCCCAGUGCACUUGGCUCUGAUUCUUCAGGGACUGGUAGUGAUGCUUCACCAAGGACUGCCUGUGACUGCCUGAGACCUCCAUAUCACCUAGAGAAGCAAGGACUUACUGCAAUGAAUCAAGUCUUCACCCCACCCUCCCAAGAAAUUUAUCUACAAUUUCACCUGCAAAUUCAAUACAGUGGGAUGUAGCUGAUGAACUAUCUCCACAGUGAAGUUAUACUCUGCACUCAGACUCGCUUUGCUUGGAGGACUCCAAAAUUUUGUACGCUGAGUUUUCCCAACACAGCAGUUGCCUCAAGCUGGCUGACCUGCUGACUGUACCUCACAGUGGGAAAGGUGGGAGGCAAAUUUCCAAAGUUGUGCAUUACUCACUCUCAGGUGUAAAAAUAGAUGGGUAUAAAUCUUGGUCCAGCCUAGUGGGAUUUGUGGCACUAUCUAAUUUUUCUUGCUGUCCCUGUAGACUGAAAUACCCCUUAGACGUAAGGUUCUCAAUAUCUAAAUAUGCUGUGGAUGCCUCAGGCUCAUCUGUACUUGGGAAUGAUUUGUUAAAACAAUGGCUGCUACAUUAGGAAUGGUUCAUUCUAGUUGUUUCUGACUGAAAUUAUAAGAGAAUGGUGAAAAAAAUCCCGCCACCACCUUACUGUUGAGUUUGUAGUAUGUCCAAGAAGGAGGUGCAAGUUCAGAGACAGAAUAAUCACAAGCUCUUGCCAUAUCUACCUUUAAAGCUGUCAACCAAAGUAUCUUCAGGGGGCUGAUAAGAUAAUAAUAUAUUAAAAGUGUAAGGCUCAUGCUUCAGAGUGUAAUUUGCUCAUCAAGCACUGAGGGACUUGUCUGUCUGGAAGGUUAUUCUGCACCUGUGCAUUAAAAGGACUUUAUUGUUUUAUGCUUUUCAUGUUAGCAUUUUCUUAAGCAUUUAUAAAAAUAAGGUAUGCCUGAAAAGAGCCAGAUACAGCUUUUUCAAAAGCUGCGAGAUUCACAGACUGCAGAGUGUGGGCACUUAAUUCAGCACAGGUAAACAAAUUCCUAUUUGCAAUUUUUGUACCAUUUCGUAAUGCAUAUGAUCAAUAUGCUAAAUCACAUUUUUGCCUCAGUAAAGCCAAACAACUACCACUAGAGGGUGGUGUUAGUACAGAAAGAAAAAAGUAAUUUAUAAUCUCAUUCCAGAAUAAAAUUAUUUAUACUCUCCUACGCAUGUAUAAGUAUGGGAUAGAUUUUACUGCUCUAGUCAGAUUUGUUUGAAUCUUUUUGGCUUUCUUCCCCAUAGAGUGAUUUAUAUAGUUCUGUUUCAGCUGUAAACAGCAAUAGCGGGUAUCUCGUUUCAUACCUUAAUGUAUAUAUGAACACUAAAAUGGUGUUGUUUCAUCUUCUUUAUGAGAAACUUUUCUAUUGAAUUACAAAGAAAAAGCUAUAAAAGA